UCGAACGCGAAAGUGGAGCAAUCCAUGAGUAGAGUGGCAAACGGGUGAGUAACGCGUGGGCGACCUACCUCGAAGUGGGGGAUAACCUUCCGAAAGGAGGGCUAAUACCGCAUGACAUCCCGUGUUUGGAUACACGGACAUCAAAGCCGGGGAUCGCAAGACCUGGCGCUUGGAGAGGGGCCCGCGUCCGAUUAGCUAGUUGGUGAGGUGACGGCUCACCAAGGCUCCGAUCGGUAUCCGGCCUGAGAGGGCGGACGGACACACUGGAACUGAGACACGGUCCAGACUCCUACGGGAGGCAGCAGUGGGGAAUUGUUCGCAAUGGGCGCAAGCCUGACGACGCAACGCCGCGUGGAGGAUGAAGACUUUCGGGUCGUAAACUCCUUUCGACCGAGAUGAAUGUCCCGCGACCUAAUACGUCGCGGGAGUGACAGUAUCGAGGGAAGAAGCCCCGGCUAACUCCGUGCCAGCAGCCGCGGUAAUACGGGGGGGGCAAGCGUUG
rnacentral:rRNA from 1 species